rnacentral:misc_RNA from 1 species
GAUGAAGAACGUAGCGAAAUGCGAUAAGUAAUGUGAAUUGCAGAAUUCAGUGAAUCAUCGAAUCUUUGAACGCACAUUGCGCCCCCUGGUAUUCCGGGGGGCAUGCCUGUUCGAGCGUCAUUUCACCACUCAAGCCUCGCUUGGUAUUGGGCAACGCGGUCCGCCGCGUGCCUCAAAUCGACCGGCUGGGUCUUCUGUCCCUUAAGCGUUGUGGAAACUAUUCGCUAAAGGGUGUUCGGGAGGCUACGCCGUAAAACAACCCCAUUUCUAAGGUUGACCUCGGAUCAGGUAGGGAUACCCGCUGAACUUAAGCAUAUCAAAAGCGGAGGA